rnacentral:lncRNA from 1 species
GAAGGCCAGAAGCACCGAUGAUGAUGCUCCAUGAGAGAGAGAGAAUGUGUGUAAGAGUGUGUGCGAGCACACACAUGUGUGUGGUUCCGCCGGAGGGACUUUGCAGCCCCAGCACCACUUGAUAAAACUUUGUCUGUGAGGAGAACGAGUAGAAAAAGAGUGUCAAAGGUCUUUUUUUUUCUCCCCCACCCUCCUCGAUUCCUUUCUGCCGUGAGUGCACAUUCCCCGUGACUGUUUGAAUGAGCGCUUGACGGAGGAUCCCUCUCACUGUGAAUUGAGGAGGCCUUCUCUUUUUUUGCAGACCCUCCUCCAAGCAUGUACAAAGUGCUCUACAUCAGAUGAGCUGGCAAGAGAGGACAACUUGAACUUUUCUCUUUUUUUCUUUAUUGGGAGGACAUUUUUUCACCUUUUCAGUUGCAGAUUAAAUUACAUGAUUUUUUUUAAAUACUCCAAACCCUUUGAGAGCGUCUGAAAAAGGCUUUAAAAAAGAAAGGGUUUUGAUCCACAUCAAGAGGCCUGGUUCUCCCUGGAACUGUUCCUGUAGUGCUAGAUUUUGAUAAGAUCACAUUUAGAGAGAAGGGGCAGCAUGGACAUCCCCAAGAAAAGGGAUGAACUUUAUGAAUAUUAGCUGCCUUCUACUAAUGUAGUGUGCCAUUUGGACUUAGGAAUGCUCCAGUUCUUCUCCGUUUCUUCUCCUUCAGUUUGCAUUUAAAAAGUGGAAUGAACUCGAAAGGCUAAUAAUGCUAAGGGUAAUAAUACCUGUCCUCGUGGAUGACCUAAGGACUGAUGCAUACCAGGAUGUGGCCCGACCCCUGCCAGCCAGCCUGCCAACCUGCCCAAGCAACUGGAUUCAAAUGCCACAAAGCGUGUGAAGGCUCUGCCAUCUGUGACAUCUGCGAGUGGCUAGUCGAGUUAGCCUGGGCUACGCAAAUCCCUCCGUCGCAGGACCCAACUCCAGACAGUCCCACAUAAUGACCUCAUUAGCAUGCACAGCACUCUCUGCUAUAUAGGCCUGGGUGUGCUGCUGCGCCGUGGGACCUAGCAGUGAGCGCCCUUCACACUCACAAACGAUCACCGAACAACAAUGUGCUAUUUCCCACAAUACAGCACUCUAUGCUGACGGCUGUAAUACUGCAUAAACACAGUAUAUGGGCAAAAGUAUUGGGG